GAGCCUAAAAACUCCCUCAAGCACAAAAGUUUGGUCCCAACUUUAGAGUCAAUUUUUUCUUAACUUACACAUGCAAGUCUCCUCAACCCUGUGAGUAAACCCUCACCCUCCCCCUCGGAAUGAAGGCUCGGUAUAAGGCUCCAUAACCUGCCCAAAACAUCUAGCAUCAGCCACACCCAUAAGGGAUACAGCAGUGAUUAACAUUAUCUAUAAGUGCCAACUUGAUCUAGUUAAAGAAAUAUAAGGCCGGCAAAGUUAGUGCCAGCCGCCGCGGUUACACUAUAUGCCUAAACUGACUCUCGCCGGCGUAAAGCGUGGUUAAAGCCAUUAAUAAAUUAGAGUUAAAUUCUAAUAGAGUAGUCAAAUGCCUAUUUACAAGAAACCCAUAAACGAAAGUUACUCUACCUUGACACUUGAACCCACGAUAGCCAAGACACAAACUAGGAUUAGACACCCUACUAUGCCUGGCCAUAAACUUUAAAUUACCCUAUAAUCGCCAAGGAACUACGAGCAAUGCUUAAAACCUAAAGGACUUGACGGUACCCCAUAUUCACCUAGAGGAGCCUGUCCUACAACCGAUAAUCCCCGUUUAACCUCACCACUAUUAGCCUUUCAGUCUGUAUACCUCCGUCCUAGCUUACCAUGUGAAUGAACCAGUAAGCUCAACCGCCAUCCACUAACACAUCAGGUCGAGGUGCAGCAAAUGUAGUGGGAAGAGAUGGGCUACACUUUCUAUCUUAGAAAACACGGAAAGUCAAUAUGCAACCUGACCAGAAGGUGGAUUUAGUAGUAAAAAGAAAGCAGAGCGCUCUUUUUAAUCCGACACUGGGGUGUGUACACACCGCCCGUCACCCUCUUCGAAUGUUUCUUAGACAGUACCUAACAAAAAAUUUUUUUCAUAAGAAGAGGCAAGUCGUAACAUGGUAAGCGUACCGGAAGGUGCGCUUGGCAAAGAAGUA
rnacentral:ncRNA from 1 species